AAAUCUGAAGGGCAAUGGAUUGCAAGUAAUUUGGAGGGAUUAAAGCCGUUCAUCAAGGAUCGCAUUGGAGUUCCAGUAUUGGGGACCUUAUCCGAGGCUAAAAUUAUGGCCUUGAGGCCUUGAAGAUGGAGAUGAUGCAAAGGAGGAGUUUUGAUUCUUGUAAAACUGCCAGUCUAGUUGCCAGAGCUAAAGCAAAUAAUUAUGGUGGAUCUUAUGAGAAGUAGGGU
rnacentral:misc_RNA from 1 species